rnacentral:rRNA from 1 species
UACGUAGGGUGCAAGCGUUGUCCGGAAUUAUUGGGCGUAAAGAGCUUGUAGGCGGUUUGUCGCGUCUGCUGUGAAAUUUCGGGGCUCAACCCCGAACUUGCAGUGGGGUACGGGGCAGACUAGAGUGUGGUAGGGGAGACUGGAAUUCCUGGUGUAGCGGUGAAAUGCGCAGAUAUCAGGAGGAACACCGGUGGCGAAGGCGGGUCUCUGGGCCGAUACUGACGUGAGGAGCGAAAGCUGGGGGAGCGAACAGG